AUUGAACGCUGGCGGCAUGCCUUACACUUGCAAGUCGAACGGUAACGGGUCCUUCGGGAUGCCGACGAGUGGCGAACGGGUGAGUAAUAUAUCGGAACGUGCCCAGUAGUGGGGGAUAACUGCUCGAAAGAGCAGCUAAUACCGCAUACGACCUGAGGGUGAAAGGGGGGGAUCGCAAGACCUCUCGCUAUUGGAGCGGCCGAUAUCAGAUUAGCUAGUUGGUGGGGUAAAGGCCUACCAAGGCAACGAUCUGUAGUUGGGCUGAGAGGACGACCAGCCACACUGGGACUGAGACACGGCCCAGACUCCUACGGGAGGCAGCAGUGGGGAAUUUUGGACAAUGGGCGCAAGCCUGAUCCAGCAAUGCCGCGUGCAGGAAGAAGGCCUUCGGGUUGUAAACUGCUUCUGUCAGGGAAGAAAUCUUCUGGGCUAAUACCCCGGGAGGAUGACGGUACCUGAAGAAUAAGCACCGGCUAACUACGUGCCAGCAGCCGCGGUAA
rnacentral:rRNA from 1 species